rnacentral:lncRNA from 1 species
GAGAAUUCGAGAAAAAGAGGGAGAAAAAGAGAGAAAAAGGAAGAAAAAAAAGAAGAAAAGAAAGGAAAUGGAAGAGGCCGGUGAUUUUUAUAAGUUUGGGUUCUUCAUUUCUUCAGCUUAUCCUUAUUUUAAAGAGGUAAGUUAAUUAAAUUUCUAGAGUUUAUGAACCAUUCAUUCAUAUUCGAAGUUUAGCAAGAAUUAGAGAUUAUUAUUAUAUUUUUGAGGUAUUAAACAAGAAUAUAUCAAAGGAAUGUAUAUUUUGAAAUUUGUGAUGAAGAAAUUGGAAUUUUGAAGGGGUUUGUGAGAUAAAUACUUACUCUUUGAUUUUGUUGUGAUUCUAUAAUAUUGAACACUUAAAUUAGGGAUUUGAGGUUGGAAUUUUCCAUUUUUUAAAGGUAAUUUUAGGGUUACUGUAGUAUAGGUGCUAUUUCUAAAAGUGUGCCCAGAAUGUUGCCACUUCUAUCAAUAGUUUUGGGGCCAAAUUUCAAUAUCUAGAAAUUGGUGUCAGAUUUCAACAUUAUGGAAUUUUAGUGCUGUCUUUGUCAAACCUUUGAUUUCACAUUUUAAAGGCUUGAAUGAAGUUUUAUGACAAGUAUUGAGGUUUAUGUAUCGGAAUAAAUUAUGCAUAGGGGUUGUAUAUGUAUAAGUUAUUGAUUUUAAGGAAGUGUGAGUAAUUUAAUGGAUUUAAUAAUGCAUGGUGUUUUGUUGAUGAAUCAAUAAAGAAAAUAAAAGUUGGGGAACUAGAGAUGUAAAAGUAAAUAUAGAAGUUGGGGAGUUAAGUGGUGAAAUUGUAUUACUUUAAUUGUCAAGUUUUAAUUUGAGUAACUAUACUGUUAUUUCAGGUAAUGACGUGAAAGUUUGGAAAGACUUGUCAAUUUAAGUAGAUUUCUAUCCAUAGAUCUGUAAGUGGAAACAUAUAAAUGUUUUUAAAGUAUUUAUAAAUUAAGUCUAUUAUCAAAGUAUGUGCAUUUAUUUGCAAUUAUGUGUUCGAUUUUAUGAUUAUUACAGAAAUCUCUUUUAUUAGAAUACAUGCGGAAUCUCAAAGAUUAUUUAUGGCAUAUUUAUAAUUUGGUAUGUGAGACAUGUGAUAUUGAAAUUUGUUUGGUAUGUAAGACAUGUGAUGUUGAGAUUGACCAAAAAAGUACCCAUGAUUAUAUACUUCUUCUAGUUCACAGAGAGUCCUUGGCCGUGUUCUACACUACACUGAGGGGUCUUGGACCGUAGAUGAAGGGGUCUCGGACCGUAGAUGAAGGGGUCUCGACCGUAUAUAUAUAGUUUACAGAGGGGUCUUGACCGUGUUCUAAAAUUGAUUAUGAGAAGUCUUUGAUAUCGACUUUUUGUUUACGGAGGGGGCCAAAGGCCCAUGGCAAAAGUUCUUAACCCAAGUGGCGGAUUAUAUAUUUUAGUCAGAGGAUAUAUUUUUGGUGAAUUGUUCAAUACAUUUGCUGUGAUGAGAUUAUAGCAUGAUUACCACCUUUUGUUCAUAUUAUGAUUUUGAGAUGAUAUUUUAC